rnacentral:rRNA from 1 species
UACGAAGGGGGCUAGCGUUGCUCGGAAUCACUGGGCGUAAAGGGUGCGUAGGCGGGUCUUUAAGUCAGGGGUGAAAUCCUGGAGCUCAACUCCAGAACUGCCUUUGAUACUGAGGAUCUUGAGUUCGGGAGAGGUAAGUGGAACUGCGAGUGUAGAGGUGAAAUUCGUAGAUAUUCGCAAGAACACCAGUGGCGAAGGCGGCUCACUGGCCCGAUACUGACGCUGAGGCACGAAAGCGUGGGGAGCAAACAGG